rnacentral:rRNA from 1 species
AUUGAACGCUGGCGGCAUGCCUUACACAUGCAAGUCGAACGGCAGCACGGGGGCAACCCUGGUGGCGAGUGGCGAACGGGUGAGUAAUACAUCGGAACGUGUCCAGUAGCGGGGGAUAACCUGUCGAAAGAUAGGCUAAUACCGCAUACGACCUACGGGUGAAAGCGGGGGACACGCGGGCAACUGAGGGCCUGGCACUAUUUGAGCGGCCGAUGUCGGAUUAGCUAGUUGGCGGGGUAAUGGCCCACCAAGGCGACGAUCCGUAGCUGGUCUGAGAGGACGACCAGCCACACUGGAACUGAGACACGGCCCAGACUCCUACGGGAGGCAGCAGUGGGGAAUUUUGGACAAUGGGCGCAAGCCUGAUCCAGCCAUGCCGCGUGAGUGAAGAAGGCCUUCGGGUUGUAAAGCUCUUUCGGCGGGGACGAAACGGUCCGUGCCAACACCACGGACUAAUGACAGUACUCGCAGAAGAAGCACCGGCUAACUACGUGCCAGCCGCCGCAGUAACAC